GCGAGGGCCGGGCCGCCGCGGAGCUGGGGGUGGGGGCAGCGCGGCCGCCCCGCCCUGACGCCCUGACGCCAGUUGCCACGGGCGGUCCCCGGAGCCCGACUGCCUUCCCGUCACCUGGAAACACGCGGCUGACCCGGUGACCCCGGUGACCCCGGUGACCCCGGCGACCCCGCAAGCUGUAACGGCCGCGCCCCCCAAGCGUCCGUCGCGGGGCCCUGCGCUCGCGCUCCUGCCCCUGCCCAGUAUCCGGGGCUGUGUGGGGAGGAGCCGGCGCCCCACUGCGUGACCUGGUGUCCGCCCACGCGACGGCGCAGCCUGAGUGCGCGUGUGUGACCGUGAGCGUGUGAGUCCGCGCAAUGGGAGUAUGGGCGUGGGCGUGUGUGCGUGGCCCAGCGCUGCCCUCCCCGCUCGGCCCCCUUUGCCCCUGCCUGGAGGUGUCUGGGGUGAGAGGCGGGCCCAGGGGUCCCUGGACUCAUCCUUGGACAGGGUGAGCCUGUGGGACUCCGCCUCUUGCUGGUCCCCAGACAAGGAGACUGACGCCAGGGUCCCCUCCCCGCAGGCGCUUCCAGAUGCUUCCAGAGAUGCUCUUCCAACUCCCUCUCUUUCGUUCCAGAGUGAAGGGCACCAAAGCCUCCUCUCCGGGCCUCGUGGCUUUGAGGACUUCCUUCUGGAUUCCCAUGACUUUCCUUACAUAGGACACACAGGAAAUGGAGAACCAUUAGCGGAUUCUAAUCAGUGAUGAGAUGGGGACAUUUGCAGGGAAACAUCCCUCCUGGAGCUCUGUGGAGAUGGAUUUGAUCAGGCAAGUCUUGUCUUUUAGAGGAGGACACCCUUAAUGUUGUGAUGCACUUUUGGGGAAGUUGGUCACAGGGUCAUUUUGCAAAAACUUUUCCAUUCAGACCCCCAAAUUAAAGUUAUUCUAGUGAGAACCUAGAGCACAGUCUAGGUCAUGUUAUAUAAACCAGGUUGGACUUUGAAAAAUGGAAUGUCCUAUUUUUAUACAUUGCUAAUAAAAACAAGCUUAUGACUGCUCUCUGAAAAUUC
rnacentral:lncRNA from 1 species